rnacentral:lncRNA from 1 species
GAUGACUUUGUUUUUAGAAUUGGUUGCAUACAACUUUCUGUAAAUAUAUCGAAUAGCCGAUAUAUCCCUCCAAAGUUCAACUUUUUAUUUUUAUUCCUGUAAAAAUUUUAACAUUUUCAAAUAUACUCCCUAUUAUUAGGAUAUGUUAGAAAAAUAUAGUUAACUAUAAGUAAAAUAUUUAACCUUGGUUAGUAAAUUGGUUAAAUUAAUCUUUUUAUCCCUUUUAUAUUAUUGAGUAAAAUAUUUUUUGGGAGGACCUUAUGUAUAAUUCUAACAGUUAGAACUUUUAAAAUAAUAUAUUUAUAAAGGUAACAAUACCAUUUUAUUUAUCUAUAAUUAAAAAAUAAAUUGUGCUCUAACGGUAACAAAUCAGAGAAAUAAAUAUUAAUAUCACUGGACUAUUGCAGGAAUAAAAGUGAAAAGUUAAACUUUAUAGAAAAUAUAUUUGCUAUCUGAUAUAUUUAUAGGGAGCUGUAUGUAAUUAACUCUUAUUUUUAUUAACUUAGGUUUGUUUAACACGAGUGACUCUAUAAAGGGAACUUGCAUGCUGGGUGUUAUUUGCGGCACUCCGGAGUCAUCAGUUACUGGAAUAAGUUAAUGGUUAUGAUGUCCUAAAAAGUGUGGCCCACCGCCCACGUGAAUUUAGUUGAUACUAAUAAAUAUACCUUACUGACUGUUUCUAGUGCAAAUGGCAAAGAACUUGGCGGUUGGUACCCUAGGUCCCAAGUUUGAAUCUUAGUUGAUUCAUAUUUUCAGCUAAGUUUAUUUUUAGAUAAAAUAAACGAAACGAAUAAUGUGCUACCUAUCUCUCAAAAAAAAUAUAUAUAUAUAUAUAUAUAUAUACCU